UAAAUAAAUGAAAGAAGGAAGAAGCUGAAAUAAAUUGUUCCCAAGCUACAAUGAUUAAGCUAAUUAUGGAAGGAACAAAAUGUAAAAAUGUUAAGUAGGCAGCUCUUCUGGGAGGAAGCAAUAGCUCUCCACUCGGCAACUACCCAGAGGAUACCUCUAGCUAUUUUUAAAAACAUGUUAUUAAAUAGCAGUUUAAUUUGUUAUUAAAUAUUACUGUUAUCAACAUAAUUCUUUUUUAUGGUUAUAAAUGAUGUGGUAGUGCAGGAGCUAUAUUAGUCAAACAAAAAAUAAUGUGGUUUCCAUUUUCUACCAUGGCAGUUGUUGAUGAAAUUUAUAUUAUAUUAAUUAUAUUAUAUUAAUUACAUUAUAUUAAUUAUAUUAUAAUUAAAAUUAUGCAGCUGACUACAGGGUUUUCCACAGGGAAAACCAUGGGAGCAGAUUGACCACAGAAAGCAAUUUUCUAAAAUAGAAAAAAAAAUGAAUUCAAUUUAAACCCUUUUCUCACCAGAAGACAUUCUUUAAUCCUUUACAUGCAAAUGGAACAUCCAGUCAGGAUAUCGAGAUAUCCCAAUCUUUGACUCACUUAUGGUCCAUCCAGUGUCUUCCACUGUACCAAUUACUGUCAGCGUCCCACCCAUAUCCUCUCAGCUUUCAUAUUUCUAAGCUCCAGUGAUCCUUUCCCUGAGGGUUUUCUCUGGUCCUGGGAGUUCACCUAAUCAUGCAUGGGACAGACCAGAAAUGCUUAGAAGGUAACAUUUUCUGGCAGCCACCCUCAACCAGCCAUUGAGGGAUGCUAGUGGGAAAAUAUCCCAGCUGCCUCACCCCUCAAUCGGGACAAUGCUGAAGUGUAUUCUACUGUUAGUCAGAGUUCCCCAGAGGGACUGGUCCCUACUUCUCCAUAUUGGUAACCUGAGAUCACCUGCUGAAUCAACUCUGAUGCCAUAUCCUUGUCUCAGUCUGUUUUGGGAGAACUCAACCUAAGAUAUCCAUCAAAGGCCCAGUUUCACCCUUUCUAUCAUCUUUCUCCCCUACAACUCCUGCCUCAAUCACCUAGGGAGCAACAAGUCUCAGAAAAACUUCAGUCUAAGGUGGAAAUGGGAGCAUUCCCUGCCUCCCCUCUCCUGGAUUGUCCUCACUACAGCCCUCCUGUAACCUCAUUUCCACCUCUAGUCCCUCCCUCACCCUGACCUCCCACCUUAAACCACCAGGCCUCCUGGAAAUAACACCUAUUGCUAAUUCUUGUUCUAAAACAUGGAGCUGCCUUGAUAAAACAGCAGAUGGAAAAGAUAGGUACAGAUCAACUUCCUGCAUACACCCUUUUCUCAAUUCACCGAGACCAGAAUUUCCAAGGAACAUCCGGAAAUCCAGACAUUUCCUUUGAUUGUCACAGCUGUGAUACAAAUGAGGUCAUCAAGGCACAGAGAGUUGUAUCAAUCUACCAGGAUCAUUUGGAAGAUUGAACAGUUUGACUCCAUGUGUGAAGAAGAAGGUGGAUAGAACAGAUGCCUUGCAUCUGAUGAGAUGCUUGGGAAGACUUUGGUGGGCUGGAUACUUUUCUUUUCUCAGUAAAAAUUGCAAAAUAUAUACAGGAAAGUAUUUAAAAUAUGUAUGACUUUUAGAGAAUAAUAAUAAAGUGAACAUACAUAUUACCAUUACUCAAAGUGAGAAUAAAGACUAUUGUCAUAAUCUACCAGCUUCAUGGCUGUCUUUGAAUGCAUUCCUCCUUACUCACCUUUAAGGAUAACCAUUACCCUACCUUUUAUGGUAGUUAUUCUUUCAGUGUUCUUUAUAGUCUAUCACCAAUGUAUGUA